GAGCAGACGACCAGGGAACCGGAGCCGGUCACGCCCACGCGCGACCAGGGCGAUUUCUACCGCACCGGCGUGACCCCGACCGCGCCGGAGCCGCCGGCGAUGCUAACCUCCCCGGAGACGUGGGAGAAGCCAUGGACGCCAUUUGUACCGCAGACGUCGGCGUUUGUUCCCAAGACGCCGGCGUAUGUGCCCAAGACGCCAUAAUUACCAUGGGCCUUAAAAUUAUUCCCUCCAUCAUGGUUUAAAAGCGCGUGUUUGAAAAUUCUCUCGAACCUAUGUGGUUAUUGAUUGACUGUGAGAUGGACAGAAAAAUAGCAUUCACAAUCGCAUGCAUAUAAAAGUAGUACUACAACGGAAUACUAAUUAGCUGCUAAGAGUAAAUGCAAUGCGCCUUAAACCUUGUUUAUUAUGGAAAUGAACGUAAAUUUAACCGUGCCUUCUAAACUGUGACGAAGGAAAUACAGACGAUGUAUCGAGGCUGAUGGGUCUUUUAAACCCGAACGAAAAUAGUAUUUAAUAGGUCUAAUCAUAGAAUAUACAUGUGCAUCAUCAUCACAUCAGUACCAAUAGUAACAUAAAACAUGACCUACAAAGAUAGACGAUCAUGAGGCAACACGAUAGAGAGAUGGAACUACUCCUCCGGUUUAGCAACAAUGAAACCGAGAAAGAUAAAUCUCCCAUCACGUCCAUGGCGGAGCACGAAGAUCAUCAUGUCUUCAAUAUCUAUGUCGUACAUACGACUACUUUGCUCCACCCAUUAAGAACUAUGCUUCCAUCUCCUUGUCACGAAUACGAGUAUGAAGUCGAACCGAGAUGUUAACACUAGGAUGGAACACAAUGGUUAUAGCUCUUCAUUUGCACUCAUCUCCUUAGGCACAGUAUUCACUCUGUAAUAAGCUAUCAAAAUAUUUGUAAAUAAGGUCACUUAAAUAUAGCAUCCGGAUGAAAUGUGAUUAUUUAAAUCUAGCUGUAAAUAUGGUUACUUAAAAUUAAUUGCUGGAUAUUUGCCAGAAUCAUUACACGGAUGAGUUAUUGUAUAUCACUAGCAAAAAGACCCGUGCGUUGCAACGGGAGAAAAAAAUCACCAUCUUCAAUGGCAAUGACCAUAUUAUGUUCAUAUCUCAUCGCAUGAUUUCAAAAACUUGUUCACAAAUGUAAGAAAAUAUUUCUUUUAUUUUAUUUUAUUCACAAUUCACAAGUUGAAACAAUGUUCAUAUUUUAAAAAAAAUAUCAUGGUUAUCAAAAAACUUGGUAACUCAAAGAAUUAUUCUGAAUUUCAAGAAACAUUUUAAAAAAUAUAGUAUAAUAUUCCGAUCCAUCAUCACAAUUAAUUCUUCAAAAUUCACUCAGGUAUAUAAUCUGAAAGACUCAGAAGCAUUACUAUUGAACGCCAUACAUUCGAUCUUUCGUGAACAUUUUUACAAAUUUGGGAAUAUUUUUAAAAUCAAGAACAUUCUUUACUAUUUAUAAACAUUUUUUUAAAAUUACAAAUAAUAUUUUAUAUUACAAACUGUUUUCAAGUAUUUUCUUGGGAAUUGGCGAAUAAUUCAUUUUUUGAAUUAUCCAACAUUUUUUUAAUUGCAUUAAAGAAAUUGCUAAAAAUGAUGGACUUUUUUUAUUCACGAAUGUUUUCUCCAAAAUUACGAAUUUUUUAAUAUGCAAUUUUUUUUACAAAAAUCCUGAACAAUUUUUUGAAUUCGCAAACAUUUUAUAUUUUAUCAAACAUUUAUGUAAAUAUUUAUUUUUUAAUUUCGAAAGUUUUUGUUGAUUUAUUUGAAAUAUAAAAAAUAAAAAGUAACAGAUAAAUAUUAAUUAAAAAACUAAAAAAAAGGCACCUGCCCAUGGGCUGGCCCAAAUGGGCGUGGUGCUUAUUUUCCAACGAGCAGAGCGUAGUAUAGCUGGUCCCUAUGCUUGGGCCGGCCCAUGCGAGAAUUACCUGCAAAACGUUUUUUAUAACUUAUAGGUGGCAUUGAUGGGUAAUUUUAAAGAAUUUUAGAGGCAAUUUUAAUAACGUACCACAGAAGCAAUAGGUGCUUUAUUAAUAGGGAUAGAUUGCUCAAACGUACUUAGAGGUGACGAUUAGGUUUUCCACCUAGUUCGAGGGAUAUCUCCACACGUACUUCGAACUGAUAUAUUUUGACAACUUCUUUCCAAAUACGUCAUGUGAAAAAUGUCUUAUCUUUUUAGUUCUAGACCCUGCAUACUCGAAAACAAAAGCUCUCUCAUGUCUUAGAUCUAUUUAUAACUUUACUCAUAUGCACUAUAACCCGUAGCAAUUACCUUUGUUUACACGUAUGAGGAAUUAGCAUGUGUGUUUGUCCACGUUCUUCUUAUCUUCUUCCUUUGGCAGUUAGGCCAUCCAUUAUUGUUGGCAAUAACAUGGUUUAGGACAUCCAUUUCAAUGUGGUUGGUGUUAGACAUUGUAUUACGUAUACACAUGGUAUAUGUAUAAACCAUGUGUAUUACGAUUGUAGGCAUGCGUGUGUGGUUUAAACUAGGGAUAUCUUGUUAGGGUCUAUCUCUUGUGUUUAACCUUGUAGAUAGAGAUAGAUCCUAACUCCUUGUUGUAAUCUCCUAGGUCUUGUGCCUUUAUUAACACGCACGUGUCCCUGCUAAACGCAUACGCUUCAGGCCUUUCUAUUCUCACAUGGUAUCAGAGCCUAUCUCGUUGCAAAACGGUUUGAACAAUGUUAUGGUCUUGAUUAUGAGGAUACUUUAAAUCCCGUUGUUAAAGCCGCCACCAUCAGAUUGGUUCUGUCUAUAGCUGUCUCUAGGAAUUGGUGUAUGCGACAGUUGGACGUUAAGAACGCGUUUUUUGCAUGGUGUUCUGGAAGAGAAUGUUUUUAUGCGACAGCCACCUGGGUAUACAGAUUCAAGGUUUCCGCACUUGGUCUGUAAACUGGAUAAAGCUCUGUAUGGUCUCAAACAGGCUCCCCGUGCAUGGUACUCUCGCUUGUCUUUCAAGCUUCAGUCUCUUGGUUUUCAACCCUCCAAGAGUGAUACCUCACUGUUUUUUUAUUCUCGGAGAGGGGUGACUAUCUUUAUGCUCAUAUAUGUGGAUGACAUUAUUGUUACUAGUUCCUCUGUACAAGCAGUUGAAGCCCUCCUCAGUGAUCUUCGCAUGGACUUUGCACUCAAAGAUCUUGGAUCCCUCCAUUAUUUUCUUGGUAUUGAGGUAACUUCUACUGAUAAUGGUAUUGCUUUAUCUCAAGGGAAAUAUUUGCUUGAUUUGCUUCAACGAGUCAAUAUGAAUGGUUGCAAACCUGUCAGUACUCCUUUGUCUACUUCUGAGAAGUUGUCUUUGUUUGAUGGACAUCCUCUUGGAGAUGGAGAUUCUACCAACUAUCGCAGUGUUGUUGGUGCUUUGCAAUACUUAACUCUUACUAGACCAGAUAUUUGUUGUUCGGUCAACAAGGUAUGUCAAUUCUUGCAUGCUCCAACCUCUGUUCACUGGACGGCAGUCAAACGUGUACUUCGUUAUUUACAAGGCACUAUCACCCAUGGUCUGCGUAUAUCUAAGUCUCAUUCCAUGUUAGUCAGCGCAUUCUCUGAUGCAGAUUGGGCUGGUUGCCCUGAUGACAGAAAGUCUACUGGUGGUUUUGCUGUUUUUGUUGGUAGUAAUCUUGUGUCUUGGACUGCACGAAAGCAACCUACAGUUUCUCGCUCCAGCACAGAGGCUGAGUACAAAGCACUUGCUAAUGCUACUGCCGAGGUAAUAUGGGUAUAGAACCUUUUGACUGAGCUGGGUAUUCCUCAUCCUAAGUCUUUCUCCCUAUGGUGUGAUAAUUUAGGAGCUACAUACUUAUCUGCAAAUCCUAUUUUUCAUGCACGGACAAAGCAUAUUGAAAUUGAUUAUCACUUUGUCCGUGAGAGAGUGGCUCAGAAACUGCUACACAUACGGUUUAUUCCCACUGGUGAUCAAUUGGCUGAUGGCUUUACUAAACCUCUUACUCUUCGCCAGAUGGAAGUUUUUCGUCGCAAUCUCAACUUGGACAAGUUGUGAUUGAGGGGGAGUGUUAGACAUUGUAUUACGUAUACACAUGGUAUAUGUAUAAACCAUGUGUAUUACGAUUGUAGGCAUGCGUGUGUGGUUUAAACUAGGGAUAUCUUGUUAGGGUCUACCUCUUGUGUUUAACCUUGUAGAUAGAGAUAGAUCCUAACUCCUUGUUGUAAUCUUCUAGGUCUUGUGCCUUUAUUAACACGCACGCGUCCCUGCUAAACGCAUACACUUCAAGCCUUUCUAUUCUCACAGUUGGUUCGAAAAAUAGCAGUGGCCACCAAUCCAUGCCGAAAUUAGCAUCUCUAUCCCGGUACAUAAACACGUACGCGCCAGCAUGCAAAAAAUUCUAAACCACCCACUUCCACGUUAACCGACCAUGCACGCCGAUCAGCUAGUACCGGCGGUCGUCGCCGUCGUGGCCGUGUUGUGCCUGCUCAUCGCCGGCCGCGCGGAUGGCCAGGACGAGUACGUCCCUGCUACCGCGGGGAGCCAAGAGGUGGAGCCGCAGCCGGGGCUGCUGCCGGGGGCCUCCCUGGCCAAGGCGUUCACAGGCGGCUACUUCCCGCAGCAGCCCAAGGCCGAGCCGGAGCCGGAGCAGACGACCACGGAACCGGAGCCGGAGCCGGAGCAGACGACCAGGGAACCGGAGCCGGUCACGCCCACGCGCGACCAGGGCGAUUUCUACCGCACCGGCGUGACCCCGACCGCGCCGGAGCCGCCGGCGAUGCUAACCUCCCCAGAGACGUGGGAGAAGCCGUGGACGCCAUUUGUACCCAAGACGUCGGCGAUUGUUCCCAAGACGCCGACGUAUGUGCCCGAGACGCCGGCGUUUGUGCCCAAGACGCCAUAAUUACCAUGGGCCUUAAAAUUAUUCCCUCCAUCAUGGUUUAAAAGCGCGUGUUUGAAAAUUCUUUCGAACCUAUGUGGUUAUUGAUUGACUGUGAGAUGAGCUGAAAAAUAGCAUUCACAAUCAAAUGCAUAUAAAAGUAGUACAACGAAAUACUAAUUAGCUGCUAAGAGUAAAUUCAAUGCGCCUUAAACCUUGUUUAUUGUGAAAAUGCACGUAAAUUUAACCGUGCCUUCUAAACUGUGACGAAGGAAAUAUAAACGAUGUAUCGAGGCUGACGGGUCUUUUAAACCCGAAAGGAAGUAGUAUUUAAUAGGUCUGAUCGUAGAACAUAUAUGUGCAUCAUCAUCACAUCAGAACCAAUAGUAACAUAAAACAUGACCUACAAAGAUGGACGAUCAUGAGGCAACACGAUAGAGAGACAGAACUACUCAUCCUCCGGUUUAGCAACAAUGAAACCGAGAAAGAGAAAUCUCCCAUCACGUCCAUGGUGGAGCACGAAGAUCAUCAUGUCUUCAAUAUCUAUGUCGUACAUACGACUACUUUGCUCCACCCAUUAAAACCAAUAUUUCCAUCUC
rnacentral:lncRNA from 1 species